rnacentral:rRNA from 1 species
AAUGAACGCUGGCGGCGCGCCUAACACAUGCAAGUCGAACGAGAAAUCUCGAGCUUGCUCGAGAGAGUAAAGUGGCGCACGGGUGAGUAACGCGUGGGUAACCUGUCCUUAAAUUUGGGAUAAUCCACCGAAAGGUGGUCUAAUACCAGAUACAACUCGGAGAACCUUGGUUCUCCGGAUGAAAGCUGACCUCUUCGUGAAAGUUGGCGUUUAAGGAGGGGCUCGCGUACCAUUAGCUUGUUGGUAGGGUAAAGGCCUACCAAGGCUACGAUGGUUAGCUGGUCUGAGAAGACGGCCAGCCACACUGGAACUGAAACACGGUCCAGACUCCUACGGGAGGCAGCAGUGAGGAAUCUUGCGCAAUGGGGGAAACCCUGACGCAGCGACGCCGUGUGAGUGAAGAAGGCCUUCGGGUCGUAAAGCUCUGUCAAGUGGGAAUAAAAUCCUGUGGUUAAUAACCGCUGGAUCUGAAGGUACCACUAGAGGAAGCACCGGCUAACUCCGUGCCAGCAGCCGCGGUAAUACGGAGGGUGCAAGCGUUAUUCGGAUUUAUUGGGCGUAAAGAGCGUGUAGGCGGUUGGGUUAGUCAGAUGUGAAAUCCUUCUGCUCAACAGAAGAAGUACGUCUGAAACUGCUCAACUUGAGUACGAGAGAGGAAAGUGGAAUUCCCAAUGUAGAGGUGAAAUUCGUAGAUAUUGGGAGGAACACCUGUGGCGAAGGCGACUUUCUGGAUCGAUACUGACGCUGAGACGCGAAAGCGUGGGGAGCAAACAGGAUUAGAUACCCUGGUAGUCCACGCCGUAAACGAUGGGAACUAGAUGUAGCGGGUAUUGAUCCCUGCUGUGUCGAAGUUAACGCAUUAAGUUCCCCGCCUGGGGAGUACGGUCGCAAGGCUAAAACUCAAAGGAAUUGACGGGGGCCCGCACAAGCGGUGGAGCAUGUGGUUUAAUUCGAGGCAACGCGAAGAACCUUACCAGCUUUUGACAUCCCGGUCGCGGUUAGCAGAGAUGCUUUCCUUCAGUUCGGCUGGACCGGUGACAGGUGCUGCAUGGUUGUCGUCAGCUCGUGUCGUGAGAUGUUAGGUUAAGUCCCGCAACGAGCGCAACCCUCGCCUUUAGUUGCCAGCAUUCAGUUGGGCACUCUAGAGGGACUGCCGGUGAUAAGCCGGAGGAAGGUGGGGAUGACGUCAAAUCAUCAUGGCCCUUACGGGCUGGGCUACACACGUGCUACAAUGGCGGUGACAGUGAGCAGCCACUCAGCAAUGGGGAGCUAAUCUCUAAAAGCCGUCUCAGUUCGGAUUGUUCUCUGCAACUCGAGAGCAUGAAGUUGGAAUCGCUAGUAAUCGUGGAUCAGCAUGCCACGGUGAAUACGUUCCCGGGCCUUGUACACACCGCCCGUCACACCAUGGGAGUUGGU